rnacentral:misc_RNA from 1 species
UUUCCGUAGGUGAACCUGCGGAAGGAUCAUUACAGUUAUUACUUUCUACCAGCGCUUAAUUGCGCGGUGGAAAAUAACCCAUACACACAGUGUUUUUUGUUUAUUACAAGAACUAUUGCUUUGGCUUGGCGCAAGUCGGGCCAGAGGUUACUACGUAAACUUCAAUUUUUAAUUGAAUUGUUAUUUUAAUACAGUUGUCAAUUUGUUUGAUUAAAUUCAAAAAUAAUCUUCAAAACUUUCAACAACGGAUCUCUUGGUUCUCGCAUCGAUGAAGAACGCAGC